GCCCGUGACACGGGGUGCCCUCCAUCGGGGGCUGAGAUCACACCCGUCGAACCUGAUCUAGCGGACGCCGCGCGUCCGGUACCUAGCGGAGGGAUGUCAUCAUGCGCACCA
rnacentral:ncRNA from 1 species